GCCAGAUGCCAUGGAGCCAGCCACCAGGUCAGACAUGCUGAAUCUUUUCUGCACUGGUCAGGUACUUCGUGUCAAUAACUGGAGCUAUCAACAGCUGCCACACAGCGUUUCCAUGAGGAUUGCAUCCUAGAGGUGACACAGAAGGAAGCCCAAGAACGCGGCCCUCAGCAGCUGGAAGGAAAUGUAAGAAGCACAGUGCGAGCUCAGGAGCUUUCCCCUGCCCACCCUUUCGGAGGAUCCUUCCUAAUCUUCACUGUUUUGUGAUGCAGAAUCAGAAAAGUGGUAGGAAAGUGAGUCAUGGUUAGGAAAGUUUGGGGGACACACACGAAGAGUUGGAAUGUGUGGGUAAAGCUGGAGGGACCAAGAGAGACUUGACCUGCUGUAGAUUCUGUAUUUUACAUGGCACUGAGAAAUCCAGUAAACAAUUGGUUGUUUUGAAAUCAUGGUCCCUAGACUAUAUAGCACUUUUAUACUUAUUAUAAAAUGAUACGGAAGCGAGUAUUCUGUCCACUUUUAAAAACUAAUCAUAUACUGUGGGGGUGGAAGUGAUCUACAGGCAAAAAGAAGUGGGGGUGAAAACCUGUCUGAUGCGGGAGAAUUGUCUGUAUUCUGUCAAUCAUAUUUUAAUAAAACGCUGAUUGGCCAGGCAGGCAGUAUAGGUGGGAAAACCAGACAGGAAGUAGAGGUGAUGCAAUGAGAACAGGAGAAUUCUGGGAAGCAAGGAGGUUCCUCUGCCAUUCCUGUGCAGACCACCGAAGAGGCAACAUGUAAGCUGACAGCUGAAAAAGGUACUGAGCCCGUGUGGCUAACAUAGAUCAGAAUAAUGGGUUAAGAUAAGUCAUAAGAACUGAUACGUAGCCUGACCAAAUGGGCCAAUCAGUUUAUAA